AGCUGGUCACAGACAAUUACAUCAAACGAUUACAUCCUUCUCUGAAACUAACUAAGAGAUAUUACCCACAUGUGCGUAACAGACUUUAUUAAAUAGAGAUGUCGUCGUGGUAACGUUAAGUUAUUGCCCACUGGCCUACAAUUUGGAACUGCUGCUGGUGUCACGAGCUGCUGCUGCUGGUGGUCCUAGACAUCAAACGAUUACAUCCUUCUCUGAAACUAACUAAGAGAUAUUACCCACAUGUGCGUAACAGACUUUAAUAAAUAGAGGUGUCGUCGUGGUAACGUUAAGUUAUUGCCCACUGGCCUACAAUUUGGAACUGCUGCUGCUGGUGGUCCUAGACAUCAAACGAUUACAUCCUUCUCUGAAACUAACCAAGAGAUAUUACCCACCUGUGCGUAACAUGUAUGGUUUCUUUGUAGUAAAAACUUAU